rnacentral:lncRNA from 1 species
ACCAAGUCAAAUGUUCACUUCUUCCACCUUGAAUAACUUUUUCCAUGAGCUUCAAAUGGAAAACGUUCCUUUCACCAAAGUUUUAUCUAUUUCAAACAUCUUCAAUUUGGUCACAAAUAUGACCUCAUUUGGAUUUUGCAUGAGGGAGUUAUGCAUUUUAGAAGUUGAGGAAAAUUGCUUGUUCAAUGGUAAUGGCCCAAAAUGACCUAUAGUGUUUCCUC